CCGAAAAUAAGUGAGCUAUAUAAAAUUUGUUCAGAACUUAACCUUAAUGUUAAAAAAUUAAAAAUAAAAUUUUAUUAUAGAGAUGAAAUGUCAUUCGCACUUAUAGAUAGCUGAUUUUUCUAAAAAUGCAUAUAAGUGCAAUAAUUAUAUAUUAUUACUAAUUUUAGGACAAGCUAAAAAUAGAAAAAGAUUUAUAAAAAUUUAUUUAUAAAAUAUUAUAAGCCUAAAAAUAGCUAUAAAAAAAAUCAUGUUAAAAUAUAUUAACAUAAAAUAAAUAUAAUAACAAAUAUAUAAUCAAUAAUAUAGAAAUAUUUAAAUAUAAAGUUUAAAAAAACGUUGGUAAUAUUAGUAAAAAAAAAAAAUAAAAAAAUAAAUAAAAAAAUAAAAAAAAAAUAAGGAACUCGGCAAACUAUAAGCAACGACUGUUUAACAAAAACAUAGCUUCUAGUAAUUAUAAGAAGUGAUGCCUGCCCAGUGAAAAAAUUUAAACGGCCGCGAAAGUGCUAAGGUAGCGAAAUCAUUUGUCUUUUUASUAAGGACCAGUAUGAAGGAUUAACGAAGCUUAACUGUCUCAUUUUUUUUUAUUAAAAUUGAUUUUGAAAUGAAAAAUUUUCGAUUUCUAAGCAGGACGAGAAGACCCUAUAGAGUUUUAUGAAAUUUCAUUUUAUUGGGGCAAUACUGGAAAAAAAAAAUCCAUUAAUCAUAAUAUCCCCAAAGGGAAAAAAUAAAAACUACCUUAGGGAUAACAGUGUAAUCUACCCAGAGAGAACUAAUCGAAGGGAAGGUUUACAACCUCGAUGUUGGACUAAGAAAACCUAAUAGUGCAGAAACUAUUAAAUAAAGCCUGUUCGGCUUAACUUCUUACAUGAUCUGAGUUCAGGUCGGCGCAAGCUAGUCCGGUUUCUAUCCUCAAAGAAAUAUUAAAUUUAAUCUAUAUUACGAAAGGAACAAGA
rnacentral:rRNA from 1 species